AUCUAGUUGACGAGUCCCGAAUAGGAUGAAACUCGCGUCCAACUGGAU
rfam:Schistosoma mattheei strain Denwood, Zambia genome assembly, scaffold: SMTD_scaffold0000163